CAGCUGGGGAUUUAUAAGUGUUUCUGUAUUUAGGCACACGGGCCUCUAGAAUUUCGGCUCCAUUGAAAUGGGACCGCUGCCACCGGGAUCGAAGCCAUGACUUACGGUUCGACGCGGAGACGUUGCCAUAUAUUGUUUCUGGUUACAGGAGUCUGACACUAGGCGCCAUCUGUGCUUCCACCAGCCAAUGUCCCCCUGGAUCAUGCUGCUUGAGAAGGGGCCCAGGCGGCCCUUUCUGCCACCCUGGUGCAGUGCUGGGCCGUGGAUGCAGCCACCUUCGCUACCGUAACAUAUAUAGUGGUUUCUGUCCCUGCGUACGCGGAGCAACUUGCCACCAAUGGAGACGCAUCUGCGAAUGACUGAGAAAGUUAACUCCUACCGUAACCGCGAUAUCUUUGGUAUAGGGAGUGCAGCAGCAAAGUGCCAUUGAGAGCGCGUUACGUGCACUUACUGAAAGUGCACUUCGACCCGACGUGGUGGCCUGGUGGUUAUGGUGCUCGACUGCUAACCUGAAGGUGGCGG
rnacentral:lncRNA from 1 species